UACGUAGGGUGCGAGCGUUAAUCGGAAUUAGUGGGCGUAAAGCGUGCGCAGGCGGUCUUGUAAGACAGUUGUGAAAUCCCCGGGCUUAACCUGGGAACUGCAAUUGUGACUGCAAGGCUAGAGUGUGUCAGAGGGGGGUGGAAUUCCACGUGUAGCAGUGAAAUGCGUAGGGAUGUGGAGGAACACCGAUGGCGAAGGCAGCUGCCUGGGAUAACACUGACGCUCAUGCACGAAAGCGUGUGGAGGAAACAGG
rnacentral:rRNA from 1 species